rnacentral:tRNA from 1 species
CAUUAGGUGGCUGAAAGUAAGCAAUGGAAUUUUAAACCAUAUUAUAGUAAUUUAACGGCUACUUCUAAUG